rnacentral:rRNA from 1 species
CAGCCCUUGACAUCCCGGUCGCGGACUCUGGAGACAGAGUCUUUCAGUUCGGCUGGACCGGUGACAGGUGCUGCAUGGCUGUCGUCAGCUCGUGUCGUGAGAUGUUGGGUUAAGUCCCGCAACGAGCGCAACCCUCGCCCUUAGUUGCCAGCAUUCAGUUGGGCACUCUAAGGGGACUGCCGGUGAUAAGCCGAGAGGAAGGUGGGGAUGACGUCAAGUCCUCAUGGCCCUUACGGGCUGGGCUACACACGUGCUACAAUGGUGGUGACAGUGGGCAGCGAAGGAGCGAUCCCGAGCUAAUCUCCAAAAGCCAUCUCAGUUCGGAUUGCACUCUGCAACUCGAGUGCAUGAAGUUGGAAUCGCUAGUAAUCGCGGAUCAGCACGCCGCGGUGAAUACGUUCCC